CAGGGAGUUUAGGACCAUACUCAUGUUGGAUUCAAAUUGUGAUUCAUAACAGUGACAACCUUGCACUUCUGAAAUAGCAACGGAAAUGAUUUUACGUUUGGGGCAUCUCCACGAAAUGGGGAACUGGAAACACCAACUCAGAGAAUGUCUCUCCUUACCUAAGUUUAGGAGAUUAUGGUCCUCAAACUCCUCAGAGGCCUGCUGAAUACGGCAUUAAAAUGUGAAUGGACUACGACCAGACCGUCUCCUAACAGUGACCCCAUGGUUUCUAAGAUGAUGGGACAUGACGUCUACUCCAUCUGGAUCGCGGUAACGCCAAUUACGGGGCAUAACUGCCAGGACCCUGCUCAAACUGAGGACAAGCGGGACCCUGGAGAGCUGGUUGCUCCACUUCACCUAGACCGAGUUGGAUUUCCACGCAGCUGACAGACACCAUUCAGGGAGCAGCUGCGGACAACAACCUGCUACGAGGGACUGCGAGCCCUAGACGGGCUGAAAGCGAUGUGGGCCAGUCCAGCUGGUGGGAUUGCUUGCUGCCUCAUCUGGAGCAGUGAACUAGAUGCUUCUGAUGAAUGCCCCAUUGCCCAGCCUUUUCUAGCCUUUCAGCCUUCCUGGGCCUGACAACGACAUCCUGGUUUCACCAGGAAGUAGUUACAGAAGAAAGCACAUCACCCCGUAUCCUCCUCAAAAGGCUGGAGUGUUAGUUAAAUGGAAACUUCCUGGCCUAGGGACAAAAUAGCUAAACUGGCAUGCUAGGAAAGGUACCUGUUAAAAACCAAACAGACCAGAUCUAUCCACAGGUGGAUUCAUUAGCUGAAGUAACUCUACAGUAUGAUAGGGCACUGGACCUUCUCUGUAUAGAACAAGGUUUUUGUACAGCUUUAAGAGAAAAUUAUUGUAUCUAUGCAAACCAUUCUGAAUUAAUUAAAAAUGAUCUGGCCGUACAAAAAAAGCAUUACAAAAAAGGGGGGGCCUUGGAUGAAAUAAAUGACAAAUCCCAUUCUCAUUUCCAGGCUCCUCCUAGAUAGUAACUCUGAGGUCAGCACUUGCAGGGCCUUUGACCCUUCGGUUUCUGCCGAUUACUGUUAGCUAUUGCAUGAUUAUUAAAUGAUAAUUCCUUUCUGGGUGCCAUUAAGAUGAUGGUUAUUAGAUCCCCAUAGAAACAGGUACCCCAGAUUUGACUCAAGUUUUGAUUACGGUGCCUAAGAGACCCAUGGAACAAAAACUCCUCUAACCUGUGACCCCUUGCCCAAGGACAGACACGUUCUGAAACGCUGGAGCUCGGUGUUUAUGGGAGACAAUAAGCCACGUGUUCUUCCUCACCUCAACACAUUUGUUGACCCAACACCACCGGAUGUGCUUGAUCACACGUGGGUGGGAAGCACGUGGAUAGGAAAUGUGUCAGCAUGUAUGCUCGCCCCGAUGGGACCUGAUGAGAAACAUGCUAACUUUAUGGGAUUGCCCCCCUGUUUUUUCCUGUUUUUUUGAUAUUGGGUUUCUCUGUGUAGCCCUUUCUGUCCUGGAACUCACUCUGUAGACCAGGCUGGCCUCAAACUCACAAAGAUCCGCCUGCCUCUACAUUAUGAGUGCUGGGGUUAAAGGUGUGCACCACCACUACCUGGCUGACAAAAUAAAAUUUAAAAAGGAGAUAAUAAAUCACUGAGGAGUCACCCACAAAGGGACGCAGCAGACUUGUCUGCUUCUCAGUAGUUGACCUCUGAGCACUUUCCUCAUUUAAAGAGUAAAAGGCGCUGGAGAGACAGCUUAGCAACUAAGAGCACAGACUGCAUUUGUAGAGGACUGAGAUCAGUUCUCAGCACCCAUGCCAGGCAGUUCCAUGCUGACAUCUCUGCCUCUUACAGCACCUGCAUGUAUGUGCAAAUUUCCCUACCCCCAUGCACACACCUAUUUAAAAAUAAACAUUUUUAAAGAUUUAUUAUUUUAUGUACUGAUGUAGGUGUG